AUUUCCAGCAUCAGUUGUCGGCAACAAAACCUACAGAGUUCACUCCGCGAGUACCUCAGAAAACAAAAACCAAAAAACUCACAAUGAAAUUCCUGUCGCUUGCCUUUGUCUUCGGUCUGUUGGCCCUGGCUGGUGUGUCCUCUGCCACACCCCUGAAUCCUGGCAAUGUCAUCAUCAACGGUGACUGCCGGGUCUGCAACGUAAGGGCCUAAGGCUGACGAGGAAUAUGGAAGAAAACGCUGAAAUAUUGGCCCAAAGCUUUCGAUUUACACCGCCAUAUAAAUUAUGUUACAAAUAAGUCAUAAAUAAAACGACAAAGUUAAUAAAAAUAUUUAAAAUUUAAAA
rnacentral:sRNA from 1 species